GAUAGAUACCCCGGUAGUCCAUGCCGUAAACGUUGGGAACUAGAUGUGGGGACCAUUCCACGGUCUCCGUGUCGCAGCUAACGCAUUAAGUUCCCCGCCUGGGGAGUACGGCCGCAAGGCUAAAACUCAAAGGAAUUGACGGGGGCCCGCACAAGCGGCGGAGCAUGCGGAUUAAUUCGAUGCAACGCGAAGAACCUUACCAAGGCUUGACAUAUACGAGAACGCUGCAGAAAUGUAGAACUCUUUGGACACUCGUAUACAGGUGGUGCAUGGUUGUCGUCAGCUCGUGUCGUGAGAUGUUGGGUUAAGUCCCGCAACGAGCGCAACCCUCGUCGUAUGUUGCCAGCACGUAAUGGUGGGAACUCAUAUGAGACUGCCGGGGUCAACUCGGAGGAAGGUGGGGAUGAGGUCAAAUCAUCAUGCCCCUUAUGUCUUGGGCUUCACGCAUGCUACAAUGGCCGGUACAAAGGGCUGCAAUACCGCAAGGUGGAGCGAAUCCCAAAAGCGGUCUCAGUUCGGAUUG
rnacentral:rRNA from 1 species